AAGCGGUGGAUGAUGUGGUUUAAUCGAUGCAACGCGAAAACCUUACCUACCUUGACAUGUCCGGAAUCCGAAGAGAUUUGGGAGUGCUCGCAAGAGAGCCGGAACACAGGUGCUGCAUGGCUGUCGUCAGCUCGUGUCGUGAGAUGUUGGGUUAAGUCCCGCAACGAGCGCAACCCUUGUCAUUAGUUGCCAUCAUUUGGUUGGGCACUCUAAUGAGACUGCCGGUGACAAACCGGAGGAAGGUGGGGAUGACGUCAAGUCCUCAUGGCCCUUAUGGGUAGGGCUUCACACGUCAUACAAUGGUCGGUACAGAGGGUUGCCAACCCGCGAGGGGGAGCUAAUCCCACAAAGCCGAUCGUAGUCCGGAUCGCAGUCUGCAACUCGACUGCGUGAAGUCGGAAUCGCUAGUAAUCGUGGAUCAGCAUGUCACGGUGAAUACGUUCCCGGGUCUU
rnacentral:rRNA from 1 species